rnacentral:tmRNA from 2 species
GGGGCUGAUUCUGGAUUCGACGGGAUUUGCGAAACCCAAGGUGCAUGCCGAGGGGCGGUUGGCCUCGUAAAAAGCCGCAAAAAAAUAGUCGCAAACGACGAAACCUACGCUUUAGCAGCUUAAUAACCUGCUUAGAGCCCUCUCUCCCUAGCCUCCGCUCUUAGGACGGGGAUCAAGAGGGGUCAAACCCAAAAGAGAUCGCGCGGAUGCCCUGCCUGGGGUUGAAGCGUUAAAACGAAUCAGGCUAGUCUGGUAGUGGCGUGUCCGUCCGCAGGUGCCAGGCGAAUGUAAAGACUGACUAAGCAUGUAGUACCGAGGAUGUAGGAAUUUCGGACGCGGGUUCAACUCCCGCCAGCUCCACCA